rnacentral:lncRNA from 1 species
AUUUUUCUGGUUGCAAUUAUAAUAGUGUAGAAACUCUCUCUCUUUACUGCUAAUAUUAGGGAAAAAUACCUAGAUUGGAGUUUUAUGGCAUACUUCCUGGCUUUUUUCUGCUUUGUGUCAUAAGCUUGACCUACAUAUUGUAGAAGAUCUAGAAACUUGUCUAUAUACUUAUCUACACUCAUCUCCUCAGUCUACCUUUAUUGCUCAAACUCUAUCACUUUCAG